rnacentral:rRNA from 1 species
GGUUGCGAUCAUACCAGCACUAAUGCACCGGAUCCCAUCAGAACUCCGCAGUUAAGCGUGCUUGGGCGAGAGUAGUACUAGGAUGGGUGACCCCCUUCGAAGUCCUCGUGUUGCAACCC